ACCAGUGUGGUGUAGUGGUUAUAGUGUCAGACUAAGACCUGGGAGUUGGGAUGCGGGUGGCGCUGUAGGUUAAACCACAGCGCCUAGGACUUGCUGAUCAGAAGGUCGGCGGUUCGAAUCCCCGUGACAGGGUG